UCAUGGCGUCAGGAUGAACGCUAGCUACAGGCUUAACACAUGCAAGUCAGGGGCAGCAUGUGGUUGCUUGCAACCAAUGAUGGCGACCGGCGCACGGGUGAGUAACGCGUAUCCAACCUUCCCCUUAGUAGAGGAUAGCCCGGCGAAAGUCGGAUUAAUACUCUAUGUUCUUCAAUGCGGACACCUAAGUUGAAGCAAAGAUUUAUCGCUAAGGGAUGGGGAUGCGUCUGAUUAGGUUGCAGGCGGGGUAACGGCCCACCUGGCCUACGAUCAGUAGGGGUUCUGAGAGGAAGGUCCCCCACACUGGUACUGAGACACGGACCAGACUCCUACGGGAGGCAGCAGUGAGGAAUAUUGGUCAAUGGGCGCGAGCCUGAACCAGCCAAGUAGCGUGCAAGGACGACUGCCCUAUGGGUUGUAAACUGCUUUUAUCAGGGAAUAAAGUGAGGCACGCGUGCCUUUUUGUAUGUACCUGAUGAAUAAGGACCGGCUAAUUCCGUGCCAGCAGCCGC
rnacentral:rRNA from 1 species